rnacentral:rRNA from 1 species
CCCUUAGAUGUUCUGGGCAGCACGCGCGCUACACUGAUGCAUUCAACGAGUCUAAAACCUGCUCUGAUAGGGGUGGGUAAUCUUUUGAAUGUGCAUCGUGAUUGGGAUAGAUGAUUGCAAUUUUUCAUCUUCAACGAGGAAUAUCUAGUAAACGCAAGUCAUCAGCUUGCAUUGAUUACGUCCCUGCCCUUUGUACACACCGCCCGUCGCUCCUACCGAUUGAAUGAUCCGAUGAAUAUCAUGGAUUGAGGAUGCAAGCAGGUUCGCCUGUCUUCAUCUUCGAGAAGUGAAGUAAAUCUUAUCAUUUAGAGGAAGGAGAAGUCGUAACA